rnacentral:rRNA from 1 species
GGGGGGGGGGGGGGGGGGGGCGGGGACAGGCGAGUCGAGCGGAGAGGCGAGGGGCUUGCUCCGCUGACGUUAGCGGCGGACGGGUGAGUAACACGUGGAGAACCUACGUAUAAGACUGGGAUAACUUCGGGAAACCGGAGCGAAUACCGGAGCAGAUAUUGAACCGCAUGGUUCAAUAGUGAAAGACGGUUUUGCUGUCACUUAUAGAGGGGUCCGCGCCGCAUUAGCUAGUUGGUAAGGUAACGGCUUACCAAGGCAACGAUGCGUAGCCGACCUGAGCGGGUGAUCGGCCACACUGGAACUGAGACACGGUCCAGACUCCUACGGGAGGCAGCAGUAGGGAAUCUUCCGCAAUGGGCGAAAGCCUGACGGAGCAACGCCGCGUGAGUGAUGAAGGUCUUCGGAUCGUAAAACUCUGUUAUUAGGGAAGAACAAAUGUGUAAGUAACUAUGCACGUCUUGACGGUACCUAAUCAGAAAGCCACGGCUAACUACGUG